rnacentral:lncRNA from 1 species
AGCAGUUCGAGGCCCCCCUCAGCAGGAGGACGGAAUCCUGGAGGAAAAACCGAACCCCUUUUUCUGCUUUCUUCUGCUUUUUCCCUUUUUUCACCUCAGGGCCGCGGAGCGCAGCGCCGCGCUUUGAAUAAUUUCCGACCGAAGGAGAUAAAAGGUGAAGAUUGGACCCAAAAAACAGGAAAUGAGAGGCCGGGGGGUGAAGAUCUUCCUGCCAGCACCCGCUCUGAGCCCCGGGGCCGCCGAGGCUCCGUGAUCCCGGGAUGGGCUCCGGGGCCUGGCUCCGGCUGCUCCUCACCCUCGCAGCUCUUUGGGGGAUCGGAGCCCAGGAAAGGCUGCUGGGAAUUCUGGGCGAGGCGACGUUCCUGCGGCUCCCCCGCCAGCUCCGGGAGCUCACCCAGCAAUUCGGGGAAGCCUCCUGGAAAAAAAUCACCCAGGAGCCGCUGAGGAAGAAAUUCCUGCUGAAGAUUUCGGGCGGGAACCAGACGGAGUACGAGCCGGGGCGGAUGCGCUUCCACAGGGAGGACUUUUCCCUGGAAAUCCUCAACACCAGCCGGGAUGACGGGCGGCUCUACGAGUACAGCGUCAGCAAGGGCGAGGAGGAGGAGGUCUGGCAGGUCCAGCUGGAGGUGUUCGAGCCCGUGGCCCAUCCCAGCAUCCGGAUCCUCC